CACGUAGGGUGCGAGCGUUGUCCGGAAUUAUUGGGCGUAAAGAGCUCGUAGGCGGUGUGUCGCGUCGGCCGUGAAAACCUGCAGCUUAACUGUGGGCGUGCGGUCGAUACGGGCAUCACUGGAGUUCGGCAGGGGAGACUGGAAUUCCUGGUGUAGCGGUGAAAUGCGCAGAUAUCAGGAGGAACACCGGUGGCGAAGGCGGGUCUCUGGGCCGAUACUGACGCUGAGGCGCGAAAGCCAGGGGAGCGAACGGG
rnacentral:rRNA from 1 species